ensembl:misc_RNA Metazoa_SRP Metazoan signal recognition particle RNA
GCCGGGCAUCGUGGUGGGUGCCUGUAAUCCCAGCUACUUGGGAGGCUGAAGCAGGAGAAUCGCUUGAACCCAGGAGGCAGAGGUUGCAGUGAGCCAAGAUAGCACCACUGCACUCCACCUGGGUGACAAAGCGAGACUCUGUCUCAA